rnacentral:rRNA from 1 species
GUAGGGAAUAUUGGGCAAUGGUCGGAAGACUGACCCAGCCAUGCCGCGUGCAGGAAGACGGCCCUCUGGGUUGUAAACUGCUUUUAUCUGGGAAGAAAAAGGCCAUGCGUGGCAAAUUGCCGGUACCAGAUGAAUAAGCACCGGCUAACUCCGUGCCAGCAGCCGCGGUAAUACGGAGGGUGCGAGCGUUGUCCGGAGUUAUUGGGUUUAAAGGGUGCGUAGGCGGCUGAUUAAGUCAGCGGUGAAAGACUUCGGCUUAACCGGAGCAGUGCCGUUGAUACUGGUUGGCUUGAGUGUCGGAGGGGUACAUGGAAUUGAUGGUGUAGCGGUGAAAUGCAUAGAUACCAUCAGGAACACCGAUAGCGAAGGCAUUGUACUGGCCGACAACUGACGCUGAUGCACGAAAGUGUGGGGAUCGAACAGGAUUAGAAACCCGAGUAGUCC